rnacentral:rRNA from 1 species
CCUACGGGCGGCAGCAGUGAGGAAUAUUGGUCAAUGGGCGCGAGCCUGAACCAGCCAAGUAGCGUGAAGGAUGACUGCCCUACGGGUUGUAAACUUCGGUUAUAAAGGAAUAAAGUGAGGCACGUGUGCCGUUUUGUAUGUACGUUAUGAAUAAGGAUCGGCUAACUCCGUGCCAGCAGCCGCGGUAAUACGGAGGAUCCGAGCGUUAUCCGGAUUUAUUGGGUUUAAAGGGAGUGUAGAUGGGUUGUUAAGUCAGUUGUGAAAGUUUGCGGCUCAACCGUAAAAUUGCAAUUGAUACUGGCAGCCUUGAGUACAGUUGAGGUAGUCUGAAUUCGUGGUGUAGCGG